AAAUACACACAGACAUGGUAUAGAAAGCAUGCAGGAAGACUCAGCUCGAUAUGUGCCAGUUCUCGUUAAUAUUUAACGAACUAAGCUGCUUGACUCUGAUUGGCU